GCCGGCGACCGAAGCCCCCGGUGAACGGCGGCCGCAACUAUAACGGUCCUAAGGUAGCGAAAUUCCUUGUCGGGUAAGUUCCGACCCGCACGAAA
rnacentral:sRNA from 1 species